rnacentral:rRNA from 1 species
CCUACGGGGGUCAGCAGUGGGGAAUAUUGCACAAUGUGGGAAACCCUGAUGCAGCGACGCCGCGUGAAGGAAGAAGUAUUUCGGUAUGUAAACUUCUAUCAGCAGGGAAGAAAAUGACGGUACCUGACUAAGAAGCCCCGGCUAACUACGUGCCAGCAGCCGCGGUAAUACGUAGGGGGCAAGCGUUAUCCGGAUUUACUGGGUGUAAAGGGAGCGUAGGCGGUUGAGCAAGUCAGAAGUGAAAGCCCGGGGCUCAACUCCGGGACUGCUUUUGAAACUGUACGGCUGGAGUGCAGGAGAGGUAAGUGGAAUUCCUAGUGUAGCGGUGAAAUGCGUAGAUAUUAGGAGGAACACCAGUGGCGAAGGCGGCUUACUGGACUGUAACUGACGUUGAGGCUCGAAAGCGUGGGGAGCAAACAGGAUUAGAUACCCCAGUAGUC